CAGCCGCCGCGGUAACACGUAAGUUGCGAGCGUUGUUCGGAAUUAUUGGGCGUAAAGGGCAUGUAGGCGGAAAUGCAAGCUUGAUGUGAAAUACUGCAGCUUAACUGCGGAACCGCAUUGAGAACUGCGUAUCUUGAAUUACUGAAGGGUAACCGGAAUUCCACGUGUAGGGGUGAAAUCUGUAGAUAUGUGGAAGAACACCAAUGGCGAAGGCAGGUUACCGGCAGAUAAUUGACGCUGAGGUGCGAAAGUGCGGGGAGCGAACAGGAUUAGAUACCCCUGUAGUCCCUGUCUCUUAUAC
rnacentral:rRNA from 1 species